UACGUAGGGUGCGAGCGUUAAUCGGAAUUACUGGGCGUAAAGCGUGCGUAGACGGUUAUUUAAGUCAGGUGUGAAAGCCCCGGGCUCAACCUGGGAAUUGCAUUUGAGACUGAAUAGCUAGGGUGCGGAAGAGGGAAGCGGAAUUUCCGGUGUAGCGGUGAAAUGCGUAGAUAUCGGAAGGAACACCAGUGGCGAAAGCGGCUUCCUGGUCCAGCACCGACGCUGAGGCGCGAAAGCUAGGGGAGCAAACGGG
rnacentral:rRNA from 1 species